AUGGCAGAGGAGAGGAACCCCCUGCACCUGCCUCACCACAAGGAGGAGGACAAGGAGGGGGAGGAGAAGCAGCAUGGCCACGACCACGGUCACGGUCACGGCCACGGCCACAACCACAAUCACAACCAGACGGAGCACGCCGCCGGGAGGGGGGUGGACAUGGACCUGCCGGCGUACGUCAACAUGGGCUCAUUCACCACCGCGGGCGUUCUCGACUGGAGGUACCAGAAGGCGACAGGGGAGAAGAGGCCGGACAAGGUGAUCGGAUUGAUCAGCGCGGAGCAGGCCAAGGAGGCCGAGCGCAGGGAGGCCGGGGAGCGCAAGGCGGAGGAGGAGGAGGGCGGGGCCGCCUGGGCCAAGAACAAGAACGUCUACCAGUUCUGA
rnacentral:rRNA from 1 species